GUGCUCACUUCUGUAGCACAUAUACUAAAAAAUCGGAACGAUACAGAUUAGCAUGGGCCCUGCGCAAAGAUGACAUGCAAAUUCAUGGAGUGUUGCAUAUUUUA
ensembl:snRNA U6 U6 spliceosomal RNA